rnacentral:rRNA from 1 species
CACGUAGGCACCAAGCGUUAUCCGGAUUUAUUGGGCGUAAAGAGCUCGUAGGCGGUUCGGUAAGUCGGGUGUGAAAACUCUGGGCUCAACCCAGAGAGGCCACCCGAUACUGCUGUGACUAGAGUGCGGUAGGGGAGCGGGGAAUUCCUGGUGUAGCGGUGAAAUGCGCAGAUAUCAGGAGGAACACCGGUGGCGAAGGCGGCAUCCUGGACCGAGAUUGACACUGAUGAGCGAAAGCUAGGGGAGCAAACGGG